rnacentral:rRNA from 1 species
UUGGUGCCUUCGGGAACUCUGACACAGGUGCUGCAUGGCUGUCGUCAGCUCGUGUCGUGAGAUGUUGGGUUAAGUCCCGUAACGAGCGCAACCCUUGUCCUUAGUUACCAGCACGUUAUGGUGGGCACUCUAAGGAGACUGCCGGUGACAAACCGGAGGAAGGUGGGGGAUGACGUCAAGUCAUCAUGGCCCUUACGGCCUGGGCUACACACGUGCUACAAUGGUCGGUACAAAGGGUUGCCCAGCCGCGAGGUGGAGCUAAUCCCAUAAAACCGAUCGUAGUCCGGAUCGCAGUCUGCAACUCGACUGCGUGAAGUCGGAAUCGCUAGUAAUCGUGAAUCAGAAUGUCACGGUGAAUACGUUCCCGGGCCUU